rnacentral:rRNA from 1 species
AAUAGCCUAACGGCUGAACCAGCAACUUGGAGGAAUGUAUAGCAAUAGCUGAUUGCACCAACAAAUAGUUGAUGCAAUAUUGACUCUGUCAAAUAAAAUUCUAGGUAGAAUUAUGAUAAUGACAUUGUCUGCCUAUAUGUCUUGACCAAAUUACGUGCCAGCAGUCGCGGUAAUACGUAGAAGACUAGUGUUAUUCAUCUUUAAUAGGUUUAAAGGGUACCUAGACGGUAAAUCAAGCCUUCACAGGGACUAAUUUACUAGAGUUACUUACGAGGGGGUAUUAAAGUACUGCAGGUGUAGAGAUGAAAUUCUGUCAUACCUCUUUUCAAAAGAAAAAUUAUGGCACAGGUAUAGGUGAAAGCAUCCCCUUAUGUGAUAACUGACGUUGAAGGACGAAGGCUUUGUGUCGCGAACAGGAUUAGAUACCCCAGUAGUCAAAGCAGAAAAUGAUGAAUGUCAUAGAUUAGAUAAAUAGUUUAUUCUAUAAAUGAAAAUGUAAGCAUUCCACCUCAAGAGUAAUUUGGCAACAUUGGAACUGAAAUCAUUAGACCGUUUCUGAAACCAGUAGUGAAGUAUGUUGUUUAAUUUGAUGAUCCGCAAAAAACCUUACCACAAUUUGAAUAUUUAUAUCUAUCUUUUUUUUUCGUAAAAAAAUAAAAAGGUAAUAUAUUUACAAGCGUUGCACGGCUGUCUUCAGUUAAUGUCGCGAGACUUUGGUUAGUUCCAUUAAAUUAACGUAAACCCUUACUUUAUUUUUAUAUGAAGUAGUUCCCCGCUAUAUUGGAUAUGAUAACAGGGACUAAGACAAGUCAUCAUGGCCUAAAUAUUGUGGGCUAUAGACGUGCCACAUAAACCUUACAAAAGGGUGUGAAAUUGCGAAAUUGAGCUAAUCCCCCAAAAAUGGAUAAACAUUGUUAAU